rnacentral:rRNA from 1 species
AACGAACGCUGGCGGCAUGCCUAACACAUGCAAGUCGAACGAGACCUUCGGGUAUAGUGGCGCACGGGUGCGUAACGCGUGGGAACCUGCCCUUAGGUUCGGAAUAACUCCCCGAAAGGGGUGCUAAUACCGGAUAAUGUCUUCGGACCAAAGAUUUAUCGCCUUUGGAUGGGCCCGCGUUGGAUUAGCUAGUUGGUAGGGUAAAAGCCUACCAAGGCGACGAUCCAUAGCUGGUCUGAGAGGAUGAUCAGCCACACUGGGACUGAGACACGGCCCAGACUCCUACGGGAGGCAGCAGUGGGGAAUAUUGGACAAUGGGCGAAAGCCUGAUCCAGCAAUGCCGCGUGAGUGAUGAAGGCCUUAGGGUUGUAAAGCUCUUUUACCCGGGAUGAUAAUGACAGUACCGGGAGAAUAAGCCCCGGCUAACUCCGUG